rnacentral:rRNA from 2 species
UGGUUGUCGUCAGCUCGUGUCGUGAGAUGUUGGGUUAAGUCCCGCAACGAGCGCAACCCUUGAUCUUAGUUGCCAGCAUUCAGUUGGGCACUCUAAGGUGACUGCCGGUGACAAACCGGAGGAAGGUGGGGAUGACGUCAAAUCAUCAUGCCCCUUAUGACCUGGGCUACACACGUGCUACAAUGGACAAUACAAAGGGUUGCGAGACCGCGAGGUGGAGCAAAUCCCAUAAAAUUGUUCUCAGUUCGGAUUGCAGGCUGCAACUCGCCUGCAUGAAGCCGGAAUCGCUAGUAAUCGCGGAUCAG